AUCCAAGCCAAGCAUUCCCCUAGGGUUUUAGCCCAGAACCCUCUAAUCUCAUUUCCACAGAAAAAUCUUUUCCAUUUGGAAACAUUCUGAACGAUUCUCCCAACCCGAUGGCCUUCGCCGCCGCUAGAUCCAUUUUCCGGUCACCGUACUUGCGCAAUGCCGCCUCAAGGAUAGCGUCGGAGGCUAAAGCAGCUCGACCUCCAUUUCGCAAGGCUUCUAGAACUCCUCUUUCUAAUCGCAUCUUUAGAUGUCCUGCUGAGUUGAGCGCUUGCGUGGAGUCACUGCAACCAUACCACACUGCUACUGCUUCGGCUUUGAUGACUUCCAUGCUUACUGACUCUCUCCGUAGUUACAGUUGGCUUUCAGAAGGUAUCUAGCAAGACCUAUAGGACCCUCGUUUGAUGUCCUUCCCCUCAUUUACGAUUUUGCUCAAAAUGAAGAUGUGUGAUGAUUUUCGGAGAGCUGGAGCUAAAUUUACGUUUGUACUUUCUCACAAUGCGGUGCUAAGUAAAGAGGUUAUAAUGAGUCACCAAAGAGCGCGGCUGGAUUUUUUUAAUUGUUAAACUUAGAAGUGCUAGAUAGACCUUAUCGUUUUCGAAUACUAUAAACAUCCGUGUCUUGGAGAUCAACACUUGUAGUAAUAAUUUGAUACAGAAUUACAUUGCUGAUGUGUGCCUCUCUUUAUAUAUCUUUGUUAUUGAUGGUAAUUGUCCCUUUCUCGUUGUAA